rnacentral:rRNA from 1 species
GCUAGUCGAGCGCACUCUUCGGGUGAGCGGCGGACGGGUUAGUAACGCGUGGGAAUAUACCCAGAUCUACGGAAUAGCCUCGGGAAACUGAGAGUAAUACCGUAUACGCCCUUCGGGGGAAAGAUUUAUCGGUGAAGGAUUGGCCCGCGUUAGAUUAGAUAGUUGGUGGGGUAACGGCCUACCAAGUCUACGAUCUAUAGCUGGUUUUAGAGGAUGAUC